GUAUAAGUUUACGGCCUUUCGGCACAAUCACAUUCCAUUAUUAGUAAAGAGUUUGUAAGAAGAAGGUCAAGGAGACAUCCCCUCGAACCUUCAAGAUGUGCACAGGUGUAUGGGAUAGAAUUAUGAGGGCGAGCACAUGCAUCAAAGCCAGCAUCAACCCCCAAAUUAAUUCAUUAAUGAUCCUUCCGCAGGUUCACCUACGGAAA
rnacentral:misc_RNA from 1 species